ensembl:lncRNA
GAAAAAGUUAAAAUCAUACUGACUGGUAGCUUCUACAGACACAUUUUUCUCACUUUACCUCAGAGCUUUGAAAAAUGUAUACAUUAUUGCUAAAAAUACAUUUCCCUAUGGAGAAAAUAAAUGGAAUUUGUACUCAUUGGAACGCCACUACUGUGCUUUAUUGUUGAUUCCCGGGUAACUGAAGUUUUAAGCUGUCCAUCACACCAGCCUGGAAGUGCUUUUCUUUCCUCGUGCUCAUCAGAGUCCUCGAACAUACUUUCAUCCUGGAUCAGGUGACCUCAGGUUUAUGGAGAGUGGAGCCAGCAGGAUGGAUGCGGUUUAUCCAGGGCAUGCAGCACUUGUCGCCUGGGGAAGCAUAAUGUUAUGCCAACGUUUGAACAUUUGGGAGAAGCUGAUGGUGGAGUUAAUUGAUUUCAAAGCUGUGAAAAGAUGCUGGUUUAACAGCCUUCCUCGUUGAUCUUGAUAACAGUGUGGGCCAAUACCUAACGAGGUGCUGCAUUAAUUGUCACCCUCUGCUGAUGGCGUUCAUUUGGUGUUUAACUGAGAGAUUGAUGUAUUGAUUGAAUGAGCGGAGCAGCCUGGGAAUGGAGCUGAGUUGGUGUUCUCAGUCUCAGCUCUGAUGGACUUCAGUGAUGAGAGUGUCUCCAAUGCUGACACUGAGGCUGCUGGGACUGUCAACUUGCACGAGGGAGGUCUGUUCCGAAUCUGACUGCUAAUAAAGCUCUCUCAUUCAAGAAGUCAUCGGCUGUCUUUGGAAUUCUUGGCUGCUUUUCUCAUGAGCAAGGCUGUGCUCCUCUUUUCUGCCAGGGCUGGGGGGGAGGCGUUGGACGAAGUGGGGGAGAGUUGUAAACCGUGAGCAAUAGGGGGUCGGUCUCCCCAAUAGAUGUCACGGAUUUUAACGAGCAGUUUCAGCCCAUCUCAAAAGACACGGAGCACAGCGGGGUGAACAAAGAUGGUCUUUGUCUGGGUGAGAUGUGUGUGUGUGUGUGCGUACACUUAAGGGAAAGUGGAGGGGUGUGUGUUCCACUACAGUUGCCUUCCAGGGGCUCCUAACAGUGGGGUAUCUUGGAUUUUGGGAACAAAAAGGGUCACGAUAACACAUAAGGUUCAAGAUUUGUGCUGAAUUUGUUACUUACUUUGCACCCUGUAGGCCAUAUCUGGAUGCCUGCAUCUGAAGGCUUUCAUGCAUGUUCUCAGCCAAUCAGCUGCAUAAUGUCAUAGGUGCUGCUUAUCCAUGGUUAUUACUGGGUAAAAACGAUCUAAUUCUCAUAAGGU